rnacentral:rRNA from 1 species
AGACGACUCUCGGCAACGGAUAUCUCGGCUCUCGCAUCGAUGAAGAACGUAGCGAAAUGCGAUACUUGGUGUGAAUUGCAGAAUCCCGUGAACCAUCGAGUCUUUGAACGCAAGUUGCGCCCGAGGCCACUCGGCCGAGGGCACGCCUGCCUGGGCGUCACGCCACCCCAUCGCCCCCGCCGCGGCGUUCCCACGCCCGGCCGGGGAGCGGAGACUGGCCGUCCGUGCCCGAGUCCUCGGCGCGCGGUCGGCAGAAAAGGAGGACACCGUGCGGCGCGACGCGGCGUGUGGGGGGUUGAGAUGCGAUUCGUCGCCGAUCGUACGCCGCGCCCGCAUUCCGCCGCGCGCGGUGUCGCCCGUGGGACCGGACCCGCCCGCAGCCGCGGGCGCUCGGACCGCGACCCCAGGUCAGGCGCGGCCACCCGCUGAAUUUAAGCAUAUCAAUAAGCGGAGGAGAAGAAACUUACGAGGAUUCCCCUAGUAACGGCGAGCGAACCGGGAGCAGCCC